CACACACGGGCUUGCACUUGCAGUCAUUUGUUUCCUGGGGCCUCCUUGGGUAGUAGUAAGUGCCCUGUUAAGGGAGCAAGAGCACAGGACUCAGAUUCAAGUACUGAAUUCUGUUGGUUCUUAGAUGAUAAGCCCUAAAUAGGAUUCCAAGACCAGCAACUGCAGCUCCCAAUUCUUACCCUCUUCCUCCUCCUCUCUACCACGACACAUAUCCCAGAGUUCUUUACUUCUGGUUUCUACCAGCCCUUGUCCUAAUGAAGAAGCCUCCAAGUCUGCAAUGAAUAGUCCUGUGUUCAUGUGAAGAUCUCCGGGUAAAAGGGAAGCUUUCUUUGCAAGAGUUUCACUGGAAUGGACAGACAGACGGACUCGGUGUGGCUGGGCCUUUGAUAGCCAAGAACACAAGAUUUGACUUCAGGGGGCUCAGAAACUUCAUCAGCCAAGGAGGAGGAUGCAGAGUAUGGGAAGGAUCCUGCUGAAACAACUCUUUGAAACCCCGCCCCCCCCCCCCCCCCCCCAGUGAUGUUUGAUGUGCCUUGUUGCCUUUUAGCCAAAGCUGUACCUUUGGCAUCAAAACUACCUUUUGAAAAAAAAAAUUAGCUGUAUUUUAGGGCACAGAAAGUGUAAAUUUAAUAUUAAGUCUUAAUGGGGAAAGUCUUUGAAAAGGUAUUUCUGGGCCUGGGAUCAUUUAUUACCUCUCCUGAUCUAGCAACACAAGUUCUUCUCUAUCCACAGCCCCCCUUUAAUUCCUAAUCCCCCUCUUUCUCAAUCCCGGGCCUCUGUGAUGGCAGGUCAGGGCACAGUGUUCCAUGGGGAGCAGUGACUUCCAGCAAAUGCCUCCGCCCCACCUGUCAGUUUCCGAGUUUCACUCUUGGUGUUAAAGGGGGUAGUCCAGGCUGGCAGCGAGGUACCCACAGACCUGCUGGUAUUGACAGCUAGAGCUGCAGUCUGGUUGCCUCAGAGAGGACAGAGCACUCAGGGUCCAGAGGGACUUCAUGGAGAGAUGGACAAGUAGUUGCUGAUAGAUCAUGGACCCCCUGGGGCCCAGGCUGGUCAGAACACAAAUGACUUUCUAAGCUCUUGCCUCAGGAGCCCCUCAAUCCUUCCUUCUCUGGAGCAGAACAGCUAGUACCAAGGACAGCUCUGUCCAUUCUCUGUGCUCUGACUGGUGAGUUGGAGUUAAGGGAGACUUCUCAGUUAAAAAUGAGCUUAAAUGCCUGGGAAGGAGUACCAUGCCCCUGGAAACAGGAUCCAGCAUCCAGACAAGGCAAUUCCACUGUAUGGAAGGACUCACAGACUUGCUCUGUGGGUGUGUGGGGACACUCCCUGAGAACCCUGAGGUCGUGUUUAGUGCGGUGAGAGGAUUCAUGGGGAGCCCUGUGGCUUGACCAUCUUAGAUACCAUCACGUCUGGUCUAAAUUGUCGCUUCCUCAUCCCCAGCCACCCACUCCUCCUCUAGUUUUAAUGAACGUUUCUGAGUGCCAUUCUCUACAUAUCAAUCCUUGACAUAGGACCUCCCACGGCUCCCUAGUUCCUUUGUAAUAAAGUCACCUCACCCUGGAAACUGAGGUCUUCAACCAGCUCACCCUGCUGCCUUCCCUCUGCUGUUCCUUGCCAUACCCCUGUGUUUGCUGCCUCAUCUGCUCAUAUUCUUUCUUCUUUGCCUGGCAAAUGCCUGCGCUCUGACCAGGUCC